GAAGAGGCAGAAGCAACCUCAGCAGAUUUCAGGAUGUAGUAAUGGAAGUGCUUUCUUCAGCCUCAAAGUUAUUUUAAGAGCUUUCUACUUUAGGUCACUGCCACUCUGCGGUGUGUCUGCAUCACAGUAUUGAAGAGCCUCUGUUACAGUAGCUUGGGUCGUUAAAAUGGUCCAGGUUAAAAAUUCCUCUUGCAGAGGCUUUGAGUGUUUGUUUGGUUUGCUUUGUUUUUAUUGCAGUCAUUUCAUUAUCAACUCUACUUUCUCCAUUGCACAAGUGACAUAUUUGCAAUUAGCUAUGAGUUGCUAGAAGUCAGAAACUCCUUUUCUCCUGGCUUUACUACUGAUCAAAACUGGAUCACCUAUGCAACAAGUACCUUCUUAGCACUUAAGGCUGAGGGGGCCAGUGGGUAUCACUCAGCAGAAUCAUUCCAGGAGCAGCAGCUUGGCGCCAGCGCAAACAUCAUUCAGGCCUUUAACUGUGUCUGAAAUGCCAUUUCUGGCAGAAUCAUUUUCAGGAAGAGGAUUUAGGGAAGUUUUAACUCUUCAGCCUGGUCUGUUUAAGAUUCUUGCAGGUAUAAUAGUACCACUCAGACAUGAUUUGUUGUUAUUUGUCAGGCAUUUACAUCCAUAAAAUCUCUGAUGUGGAUUUAACUGUACCAGUAGAGAAAUAUCUUAAAUAGCAAUACUAACUAUUGUGUUUCUCAUACAUGAAUUGCUCUGUGAAUAUGAUGUACCUUGUUAGGACUUUGUGCUUAAAUAAAUCUGCUGUUGUUUACAGCAGGUCAGGGAAUGCUCUAAGGUGACUAGCUCAUACUGUGCUUAACAGAUGAAACCUUAGUAUGUUUGAAAAAACAGCUUUUCUCAGUAAAUUUUUUUCAGCUGUCUGUUUCUGUCUUCAUCUAUGACUAGACAUAUACAACAGAUAAAAACGUGUGUGCCUGUACCUACAGAUACAUCUUUUAUAUAUGCACACACAUGCAGAUUUGAAAAGCUGUAUAGCACAGUUGCUUUGCAUAACAGGUUUAAUUUUUUCUCACAGGUCAGCCCCUUAAGUGAACCUUGGAAAAACUACUGUGUGAUCAGUCGAUUGCACUGAAGCGGCAGCACCCAUUUGGUAAAGGUUCCCAAAAGCAUGUACGCCGUUCCCUAUAAGUGAAUCUGUGGAAAGACAGAAAAACAAGCAAAGACCUCUGAAUAGAAAACAAACGAGAAAAAAAGAACAUUCAAGAAAACUGAGCCAGUAAACAUGACUGCAUCUGCAAGUGACUAUACAAGAAAAUAGUAAAACUGCUGUCUUAAGGUACUCUUCUGGGCAAUGGCAUUUUUCUUGUCUGUUAUUUAUGUGCUUCUUGCAGACCUAAGACUUGAUACCCUGUUCCUUGGGUAGACACUGAUGUUUCUCUGAACUAACAAGGGAAAAAUAAGGAGGCACUGAAGAUGUUAGUCCAGAUCCAGAUCAGUGGAGACUUUUGGAAAACCACGUUUUUCUCAUGCUCACUGCAGAUGUGGGACAUACAGAUAACCAGGAAAGAAUUGUCUUUUUGGGGAUCCAGAAUUUACUCAGAAGCAAGAUCAUAAGAUUCAGCAUUCCUUUCCAUAUAGCUGAAUUUCUGGUUGUGAACCUCUUCCUCUGAUUAUAAGGA